rnacentral:rRNA from 1 species
GACGAACGCUGGCGGCGUGCUUAACACAUGCAAGUCGAACGAAGUGGCGAACGGGUGAGUAACGCGUAAUCAACCUGCCCUUCAGCGGGGGACAACAGUUGGAAACGACUGCUACUACCGCAUACUGAAGGAGGGGAUUGCGUCUGAGAAGCUAGUUGGAGGGGUAACGGCCCCCCAGGCCGAUGAUCCGGAGCAGGGUGUAGAUGAUGGACGGCCACAGUGGGGCGUGGACACUGCCCAGACUCCGCAGGGAGGCAGCAGUGGGGAAGCGUCCGCAAUGGACGAAAGUCUGGCGGCGCAACGCCGCGGGAGUGAUGACGGCCUUCGGGUUGUAAAGCUCGUUUAAUCUGGACGCGGUACCGGAAUAGAAAGCCACGGCUAACUACGUGCCAGCAGCCGCGGUAAUUC